UCUGUGAAGGCUGACCUGGCUUCCAGAGAUCGUAAAUCUUCUUUUUCCUCUUGAGCUCCACGAGGAGUUCCCUGUUCAGACAAGCUGGUCUUCCACCCAGCCUGCUUGACUUCCGACACAAUGGAAGGGGCUAAACAAUUCUCAGGAAGAGUUUCCAUGUGAUUGACCUAUAUUGGGGUAGGGUUAUAGCUGAGUGACGUUUUCAACUUCCUUCUAGCUGCCUUACCUAAUGUCUAGUUUAAGGAAAAAAUGGGGUUAUAAUUCUGUGGCUUUUUUAUAUAACAGCCAGAAUUUUAAAUACUGGUACUUAAGAGAAAUUAAAAGUUGAUUAUAACUUCUGCACGUGCUGUUCUGUUUGACAGAAAAUCAUACAGAUGCAUUUCAUACUCCAGUUAAUGGAUUUAAAAGUAAAGCAACUGCAAAAUCGAAAUCCACGAGAAACAAAGCUGGCAAAGGACCAGGGAAAGCAGCAGCGGAAGUGAGGUCUGUGAGCAGAAGGAAAACUGGCGCAACUGUGAAAUGCAGUAGUGAAAGGUAAAUCCUUUUUCCUCCACUGUCAAAAUCACGAUCUCUGUUCCGGCAAGGAAAUCUAAUUCAAAUGUUUUUCCUUUCCAAAACCAGCAUCUUUACUAUUCUGUGUUGCUAAUACACAGAUAAACAUUUAAGGAAAAAAGUAAUUAUUUGAACUGAUACUUUUGAAACAAUCACAGGUUUGUCAGCUUCACAUUUAUUACCAUUGCCUGAAAGCCUGUAAUUCUUUUUUUUUUUUUUUUUUUUUUUAACAUACCUUUUGUGAGUAGAGUUAAUAUACAUUCCAGCCGACAAAACUUAGAUUUUUGGCUUACAUUAUUACUCUUCAUCCAGUCACUUUUUCUGCUUUCUUAAUAACUGUUCUGUGGAGGAAUCAUUUUUUAAUUUAAGUUCUGUUUCCCCUUCCCCAUUUUUGUUGCUUGUUUUUCAACAUGUAGUUGAUAAGCUUCUAGAAAUGACUGAUAAGUGAAUGUACGCAAUGCAUUCCUUUUCUUAUGAU
rnacentral:lncRNA from 1 species